ACGACGACGUGGUCCGAUGGGAGCAGCAGCUUGCCAUCGCUCCCGGCGUUGCAGCACUGCGCGUUCGCGGACGAGCAGUUCCUGAGCCGCUGAUUCCGACAGUAGUACAGCACUACAGGAUAUGAGAGAUCACGAGACAGCAUUCAAUGAACAACAAAAAUGUCGUGGGUCUCUGUAUCUGAUACAGCAUCUUCAGAGGUCGACGCCCAUUCGGCCAAAGUUGUGUGUGCAUCAUAAUGGGACAGUAAGGUACAUGAACAGGCCAAGAAGAGUAUUUACUGAAGCACCACUGCUACAAAUCUAAUGAAGCUUUAUAAAUGGAUAGCCCUACGUAUCUACAGCUGCUCAGUUGUACACUUGUACUCAUACUGUGCAGCAGGCAGGCAGCCAGGCAUUGGGACCAAAUUAAGAAGCUCCUUUUUUUUUUCUUUAUACUUUUUUUUAACCCCGUAUAGCUGCAUCAACUUUGCACAGAAAUAGAUGCUGCAGGAAAAAAAAAAGAAAAAAAGGAUGAAAGCCUCCCCCACCUGCUGAUCCUCUGGGGCUCGUUUUCCGACGACAUGACGAUCACCGGGAUCGGCUUCAGAGGGCUCAGCGCCUGCAAACACCCAAUGAUGAAGCCACCACACAUCAGUGCCUCUCACCUCCAUGAAAAGCGGCCACCUUUUGCUCCCGAAAGGCGGAGGAGCGGAGGAACAGAAGCCCUCACGCGCGCACGCGGCGCGCAGAGGCCGCCGUACGCCGUACGGCCGGCGCGCCACCGGGCCACCAGCGACAGGCGGCCGCGGGUGGCGAGAACGGUGCAUCGGCCGGUGGCGGAUUAAAGGACGGUAAUGGCGUGGGUAAUUUUUUAGCUGAUGAGACUGCUUUGUUUACCUUGCCUUCUUCCUUGAGGCCGAGGAACUCCAUGGCCUUCUUCGCGCUGUCGACGGCGAUAACUGCACGAAAUUGAGCUCUGGUUUUUCAGAUUCUGGCGGUAAAGUCUUGAACCGAAGUGAUCAGAACGACAGUCUGAGCAGCAGGGUGUAUAUGUUUGUUGCACACAAAAUCAAACACCAAGGGGAAACGGGAAAGAAAAAAAACAGAGACGACGAGUGUGCUUGCAAAUAUGCAUGCUCAUUAUUAGUGGUAAAAAGAAAGCAUCAAUCUGUGAUGAAAAUUACAGCAAUGGAUGAAGCAAAAGAAAAGAAAAGAAAAGAAAAGAAAAGAAAAGGGAAAGAGCACGCACGCAUUGGGACAAGAGGAUGAAGGCAGGGCAGCCAUGGAAAGAAGAAACAGCCGGUGACUUGAAAGAAGCAGAGGAGAGAUUCAGGAAAAGGCGAAUGGAAACAGAGAGGAUGAGGAAGCAAGCCAAGCAAGAACCGAGACGAGGAAUGAGCGAGUGAGUGAGGGGCGUAGAAGGAGGAGGAGGGCGGCGGCGAGCUGACCAUGGAAGGAGCCGGCGCAGGCGCUGCUGCUGAGGA